UCUGUAUAGAAGAGACUACUGAUGUGCCAUCACUUUCAAUCCCAAACUGACCAGCAACAACUUUGGUAAUUUCCAUGCAUGUGUGAAACAUUCAGAGAGCUCUAACUACUAAAACUGCUUACAAAAUACAGAGACAUCACUGUGGAUGCAAACUGAAAGUGAUAGACGUGUUCCCAGUGGCCACAAGUUUGAAUAGUACAUCAUGAAUUCUUUGGUAAUUUGCUUUUUCAGCAGAGUGCCAGUAAAACACCAGACUCUUGCUUUCCUUUUAGGUUCCCAUGCUGAAACUUUGCUGAAGUGGGAGAUAGCUUGAAUUUCCGGCAGAGAUUUCAGAGAGCUUUCCAAGUUCCCAAAUCUCUCCAGAGCACUGAAUCAGUUGUGCAACCUUGUGAAGCACCUAUAUGGGACAUGUUACCUUACCUGCUGAGGAGUCGGCUUGCGACAAAAGUCAUGUGAGGUUACACAGCAAAAGAGACACAUUGCAACAGAAGAUACUGAUGGUGGACCACAACUUCUACCACACAGCACUGCUUAGUUAAUAAGCAUUAUAUUUCCAAAUGGCUCUGUAGACCUGCUUUAGAAAAUACAUCAUGUCCUUCCAAACCACCAGGAUAUUAAAGAUCAAGUACAUAGCAACUUCAAAUAAUCUAGUUGAUAAGUUUAUCCCUUUGUUUGCAUAUGUAACCUAAGCUGUAAUUGGGAUUCUCUAACCUGCCUGUAUCUGAAUUUUCACAGGGACUAAAAAACAUCUAUCUUUGUCACCAGACUAAUCUCCAUUGUAUUUCAAAUAUUUUCUCCACUAAAAUAAAUGCACUAGAGUUUCCCCAGCAAAAGCAUUAUGUACCUUGCUGGUACACCAGGUACAGUCAGACUGGCAGCUUUAGAUUAGCUUUAGAUUGCUUACAAGACAGCAGUACAUUCAGAAGCAUAAGACUGUGCUGUGGAACAGCAUUGUGGUGACCUACCAAAGACCAUGAAGUACAGUGCUUCAUCAACGACCACAUCUUUAGAGAGAUUCUCCUGGCAGAAAUGCCAAAUGAGCAUGAGUCCUUUAUGGCUUUAAG
ensembl:lncRNA